rnacentral:rRNA from 1 species
GUUGACCUCGGAUCAGGUACGGAUACCCGCUGAACUUAAGCAUAUC